rnacentral:rRNA from 1 species
CCUACGGGGGGCAGCAGUGGGGAAUAUUGGACAAUGGGGGCAACCCUGAUCCAGCCAUGCCGCGUGUGUGAAGAAGGCCCUCGGGUUGUAAAGCACUUUCAGUGAGGAAGAACGCCUGGUGGUUAAUACCCAUCAGGAAAGACAUCACUCACAGAAGAAGCACCGGCUAACUCCGUGCCAGCAGCCGCGGUAAUACGGAGGGUGCGAGCGUUAAUCGGAAUUACUGGGCGUAAAGCGCGCGUAGGUGGCUUGAUAAGCCGGUUGUGAAAGCCCCGGGCUCAACCUGGGAACGGCAUCCGGAACUGUCAAGCUAGAGUGCAGGAGAGGAAGGUAGAAUUCCCGGUGUAGAGGGGAAAUGCGUAGAGAUCGGGAGGAAUACCAGUGGCGAAGGCGGCCUUCUGGACUGACACUGACACUGAGGUGCGAAAGCGUGGGUAGCAAACAGGAUUAGAUACCCGGGUAGUC